UGAAUACGAGAUGCUACGGCGUCGAAGCAGUGUAUGUCAGACUUCCAAGAAAAGCUCGCAAUGUCAUAAAUAAAGAAUGCCUGUACCAUAACCGACACAGGUGGGUAGGUAGAGUAUACUAAGGGGCGCGAGAUAACUCUCUCUAAGGAACUCGGCAAAAUAACUCCGUAACUUCGGGAGAAGGAGUGCCUUCUUUAAGAAGGUUGCAAUAACAAGAUCCAAGCAACUGUUUAUCAAAAACACAGGUCUCCGCUAAGUCGUAAGACGAUGUAUGGGGGCUGACGCCUGCCCAGUGCCAGAAGGUUAAAGAAGUUGGUUAGCUUUUGCGAAGCUGAUGACUGAAGCCCUGGUGAACGGCGGCCGUAACAAUAACGGUCCUAAGGUAGCGAAAUUCCUUGUCGGGUAAGUUCCGACCCGCACGAAAGGCGUAAUGAUUUGGAUACUGUCUCGGAGAGGGACUCGGUGAAAUAGACUUGUCUGUGAAGAUGCGGACUACCUGCACCAGGACAGAAAGACCCUAUGAAGCUUUACUGUAACUUGAAAUUGAAAUUGGACUUUAUUUGCGCAGUAUAGGUGGAAGGCGUUGAAAGUAAUCUUGCGGGAUUAGUGGAGCCAUCAGUGAGAUACCACUCCUAUAAUGUUAGAUUUCUAACUUUGGAUCAUGAUCUGGUCAAAGAACAGUUUCAGGCGGGCAGUUUGACUGGGGCGGUCGCCUCCCAAAUGGUAACGGAGGCGUACAAAGGUUUCCUCUGAACGGGUAGAAAUCGUAUCUAGAGUGUAAAGGCAUAAGGAAGCUUGACUGUGAGACCUACAAGUCGAGCAGGGACGAAAGUCGGUCUUAGUGAUCUGACGGUGCUGAGUGGAAAGGCCGUCACUCAACGGGUAAAAGUUACUCUAGGAUAACAGGCUGAUCUCCCCCAAGAGUUCACAUCGACGGGGAGGUUUGGCACCUCGAUGUCGGCUCAUCGCAUCCUGGGGCGGUAGUACGUCCCAAGGGUUGGGCUGUUCGCCCAUGAAAGCGGUACGCGAGCUGGGUUCAGAACGUCGUGAGACAGUUCGGUCCAUAUCCGGUGUAGGCGUUAGAAUAUUGAGAGGAGCCUUCUUUAGUACGAGAGGACCGAGAAGGACAUACCUCUGGUGUACCAGUUAUCGUGCCAACGGUAAACGCUGGGUAGCUAUGUAUGGAGAGGAUAACCGCUGAAAGCAUCUAAGUGGGAAGCCCACCUCAAGAUGAGUAUUCUCAC
rnacentral:rRNA from 1 species